UCUCCCGUCUCAGUUUCGCUUCCGGUUACGCGUGUGCGCUUGGCGAACGCACAAAGAGAGGAUCCAUCACUGCCACGUUGUUUCAGAAGGGUGGCAACGAGUGAGGGGGCUUGACGUCUGCACUGGGGUGUUUCCUUUGCCCAGCUGCACCCUAUCCACAAUCACCUGUUCCUGCCCCUGCUAAUUACCAGCGGUAUUUAGGAUAACUCCUGACAUCCCGUCCCUGCCCAAUUGUUAGAUAGCCUCAACACACUUGCCCUGGGAGAUUCCCCAGUCUCACCUGGAUUAUCGGACAUGCCCUGCCACACCACCGGAAUACUCACCAGCUCCACCCACCUGGGAUAUCGGACAUGUUUCAUUACACCACUCGGAUUGCUCACCUGCUUCACUUACCUGGAACCUCCGACCCAUGACCCCGCUCCUCACUCCUUUUCAAUAAAUCCUCUUGAUUUACUUACUGGUCUGCGUUUGGUUUCCGGUCUCGAAAGCCUGACCUGGGGAGCACAAAAGAGCUGUCAAAAGACCUGCGUAACAAGGUAAUGGAACUUUAUAAAGAUGGAAUGCCAGUCAGUACUUCUUACGAAUUGGAAAA